AUGGGAAUUACUUGGGGAUCUUGUUAAAAUUCAGAUACUUAUUCUCUAGAUCUGGAGUGGGGCCCAAAUCCUACAUUUCUUGAAAACUUUCAGGUAAUGUUGAU
rnacentral:pre_miRNA from 1 species